rnacentral:rRNA from 1 species
AGAACGAACGCUGGCGGCAGGCUUAACACAUGCAAGUCGAGCGAGGACUUCGGUCCUAGCGGCGGACGGGUGAGUAACGCGUGGGAACGUGCCCCUUUCUUCGGAAUAGCCUCGGGAAACUGGGAGUAAUGCCGGAUAUGCCGGGUCGUAGAGAUACGGACCGGGAAAGAUUUAUCGGAGAGGGAUCGGCCCGCGUUGGAUUAGGUAGUUGGUGGGGUAAUGGCCUACCAAGCCGACGAUCCAUAGCUGGUUUGAGAGGAUGAUCAGCCACACUGGGACUGAGACACGGCCCAGACUCCUACGGGAGGCAGCAGUGGGGAAUCUUGGACAAUGGGGGCAACCCUGAUCCAGCCAUGCCGCGUGAACGAUGAAGGCCUUAGGGUUGUAAAGUUCUUUCAGCGGGGAAGAUAAUGACGGUACCCGCAGAAGAAGCCCCGGCUAACUCCGUGCCAGCAGCCGC